GGCGGUUCUCGGGUGACUACCCUGGAAUCGGGCUCCCUCCUCUCUUGGUUCCAGGGUGUGUCACCAGAAAACCGCC
rfam:Myotis brandtii contig257493, whole genome shotgun sequence.